rnacentral:lncRNA from 1 species
CAUAACUGCACUAGGAUCCGUCGGUUAUUUAAACCCCCUAAUCUCCCUUCGUGGCUUCAUCCUGUCGAUAGGACGGUACCUUUCUUUCGCCUGAGAGCCUAGCUACUCAGCUACUUCCCUCGCACCAGUCCUUGCCUUCUUCAGUCCCCCAAUUCUUCUCUGAGGGUUCCCACAUCAUGUCCUCCACCCCGGAGGCCAUUCUUGAAGGGAUGUCUAGGGCUUGGAGGAAGGCGAGGAGGAGAACGGCGGCCGGUGAGGAUCUCCAUCAUUUUAAAGGGGGCUCAAGGAAGAAUUCCUUCAACAACAGGGGUUUAAUAACGGGGGCCGC